rnacentral:rRNA from 1 species
GACGAACGCUGGCGGCGUGCUUAACACAUGCAAGUCGAACGGUAAGGCCCUUCGGGGUACACGAGUGGCGAACGGGUGAGUAACACGUGGGUGAUCUGCCCUGCACUUCGGGAUAAGCCUGGGAAACUGGGUCUAAUACCGGAUAGGACCACUGCCUGCAUGGGUGGUGGUGGAAAGCUUUUGCGGUGUGGGAUGGGCCCGCGGCCUAUCAGCUUGUUGGUGGGGUGAUGGCCUACCAAGGCGACGACGGGUAGCCGGCCUGAGAGGGUGACCGGCCACACUGGGACUGAGAUACGGCCCAGACUCCUACGGGAGGCAGCAGCGGGGAAUAUUGCACAAUGGGCGCAAGCCUGAUGCAGCGUCGCCGCGUGAGGGAUGACGGCCUUCGGGUUGUAAACCUCUUUCAGCACCGACGAAGCGCAAGUGACGGUAGGUGCAGAAGAAGGACCGGCCAACUACGUGCCAGCAGCCGCCGUAA